AAAUCCACAGUUGACUUACGCAAUCUUCAUCCAAAAGUGGCACUCAGAGGUAAAUCUAAAACACAACAAAGGGAAGGAAGCUUUUCACACUGCUCUGUUACAAAUAGCGGCAUUAGAAGAAGAAACCGAAUCUUAAGCAAGCAGUUAUCUGACCAGCUAGAGAUAAGACACAACUCACCUCCCUUUUCACCAACCAAAUAGGUAAAUCUCAUGGUGAUGCUGGGUAGGGAGCUUGGUCUUGUUUUUAAAAGAGGCAAUGAUAACAAUCUGAUACAAUUUCUUGCUAACCAGAUUUCGAAUGACUUUGCUCUCUGCAAUAAUAAAUGACAUAUGUCGUAGAGCUUGGUAGCCUUUUCUUAAUUUUAUACUUUCCUUUUUUAGCACAUGUUCCUCUUGCUAUUUUUUUAUCUAUGGAAUAGCUGCUUGAAGUUUUUUACCUUUUGGAUUGAAAGGUUUCUCAUCUCCUAUCUGGGCAAAUAUCUAAGAAGCUACCCUAUAAAUAUAAAUAACUUUGUUCUGGACAAUAUCUCUUUCCUUCUUGGCAAUGGAAGAUGUAGUUUCUUUUAGUAUAUGGGUUUCAGGUGCCUAGGUAUGAAAUUUUACAUGGAGAAGGGACUUGCAACUAUGGGAAGUGGAAACAUUCUUCCAAAUAUCAAACUUACUCUAGAGCUUGGAUUUCUAUGCAUUUCUUUGGUCUUUACAGGUAGCAUGCAAUGCUAAGGUGUUCAACUACCAUGACUUUCCAGCAAUAUCACUUUGUGUACUAUUUUUGCAUCGGCUACCCACAUGGUUGAAAGCUUUAUGUGAGGUUUUUCUGACUCAGUCUCUGAACUUAUAAAUCCAUCUACUACAAUUCAAUCCUGGUCAAAUCUCUCAAAGAACAAAAAUCAAGUUGCUUGGAGAAUUCCCUCUUUUUUAGGUAGGCAAAGUAGAUCCUAAUGCAAUUGGAGGACUUCUUAGGGACUGCAUGACUACACUGAAUUGGUUUCAAAAACAUAGCAACCUAAGGAAAUAAUGCACUUUCCUCCCCAUAGAUUUUUGCUGCAAUUUUUAUUUCCAUAUAGAACCUGGCAUCCAUCAUGCUUAAGUAUCUUUUAAGCACACUCUUUGAGAUUUCUUUGCAAUUCAAACAUGUCUAUAUAUUACGGUUUACCGAGAGCUUGAUAGAAAGGAAAAGGUUUUUAUGAUGGUCGACCAAUCUUGUGUUUUUUGUUUUUACAUCAAGUUGAAAGCAGUCAACUACAUGUUAGGUGUGGGCAGUAACAGUCAACUGCUUGGGUGAGUUUUCUCUUAGUGCUUUGCUUUAAAGAUGUAAUCAAACGCCUUGAUUUUUUUAUUAGAUGUAUGCACAUUUUCUUUUCUUUUGUAUCACAUUCCAGGCUCUCUCUUAGCAUACCAUUGUCUAAAACGGAUGUAAGAAUGGUAUAAGAUGGAUGUAAGGAGAUUAUGUUUGGGCUAGAAUCAAUGAUCAUGCUAAGUUUUCCUAGACAUCUUUUAAGGAUAUCUUUUAAUAAAAUUUAUGCUUAUAAAAAAAAUAACUGAGAAGGUGAAACUGAUAACAUCCAUAAACAGGUCUUUCCUUUAAAGCCUCUUCCUUGUUUUUUAUGAAAAUUUUAUUUUCAUGGAAAAAGAUAGGGAGGUUUAACUUCCCAAUAUGAGUAAAUUU
rnacentral:lncRNA from 1 species